rnacentral:lncRNA from 10 species
CUUAAUUUUUCUAAACAAACAAGAACCAUGGGCAACUGCAGGCAAAAGUGUUUCCACCCUUGAGGUCUUGAAAAGAAAAGUCCCAGUCUGUUUCACCUCUUCCUCAGAAGUGCAGGGAACAGUGUGUGCUAUGCAAAUAGAUGCCACAUACAGAUGGUAACUUGUUGGGCUAAUUGGCUGGGGGCAAAGGCUCUCUGGGGCUCACCCAGGGAUGGUGUAUUUGCCAAGACUGGAAUUACAAUCCCGAUGUCAUGGGAUGUUUGGCUCAGAAAGCCUUCAUCUGCUUGUCAUGAGUUAUGGGAUCUCCUCAGCCUCCCAAAGUAUUGGGAUUACAGGUGUGAGCCACCACAUGUAGCCUAGAGUUGAGACUUUUAAUUCCACCCCUUAGCCUCUGAGGAGCAGAGAGGGGCUGACGGGUGAGUUGACUACCAAUGGCCAGUGAUUUAAUCAAUCAUGCCUAUAGAAUGAAGCCUCCAGAUAAAUGCAGAAAAACCAAGUGGGUUCAGAGAGCUUCCAUAUAGCUGAACACAUGGAGGUCCUGUAGUAUGGUGUGCUCAGAGAGAGCAGAGAUGCUCCUAGCCCCAGGACUUGCCCUAUGCAUCUCUUCCACCUGGCUGCUCAUC